AUUGAACGCUGGCGGCAGGCCUAACACAUGCAAGUCGAGCGAGUGGCGGACGGGUGAGUAAUGUAUGGGAAACUGCCCGAUAGAGGGGGAUAACUACUGGAAACGGUGGCUAAUACCGCAUACCAUCGGAUGAGCCCAUAUGGGAUUAGCUAGUCGGUGGGGUAAAGGCUCACCCAGGCGACGAUCACUAGCUGGUCUGAGAGGAUGACCAGCCCCACUGGGACUGAGACACGGCCCAGACUCCUACGGGAGGCAGCAGUGGGGAAUAUUGCACAAUGGGCGCAAGCCUGAUGCAGCCAUGCCGCGUGUAUGAAGAAGGCCUUAGGGUUGUAAAGUACUUUCAGCGGGGAGGCGUUACCCGCAGAAGAAGCACCUGCUAACUCCGUGCCAGCAGCCGCGGUAAUUC
rnacentral:rRNA from 1 species